rnacentral:rRNA from 1 species
GGAAUCUUCCACAAUGGACGAAAGUCUGAUGGAGCAACGCCGCGUGAGUGAAGAAGGGUUUCGGCUCGUAAAACUCUGUUGUUAAAGAAGAACAUAUCUGAGAGUAACUGUUCAGGUAUUGACGGUAUUUAACCAGAAAGCCACGGCUAAAUACGUGCCAG